rnacentral:rRNA from 1 species
GACGAACGCUGGCGGCGUGCUUAACACAUGCAAGUCGAACGGAAACGCCCUGCUUUUGUGGGGUUCUCUAAUGGCUAACGGGUGGGUAACACGUGAGUAACCUGCCCUUGACUUUGGGAUAACUUCAGGAAACUGGGGCUAAUAACGGAUAGGAGCUCCUGCUGCCUGGUGGGGGGUGGAAAGUUGCGGCGGUUGGGGAUGGACUCGCGGCUUAUCAGCUUGUUGGUGGGGUAGUGGCUUACCAAGGCUUUGACGGGUAGCCGGCCUGAGAGGGUGACCGGCCACAUUGGGACUGAGAUACGGCCCAGACUCCUACGGGAGGCAGUAGUGGGGAAUAUUGCACAAUGGGCGGAAGCCUGAUGCAGCAACGCCGCGUGCGGGAUGACGGCCUUCGGGUUGUAAACCGCGUUAGCCUGUGACGAAGCGUGAGUGACGGUAAUGGGUAAAGAAGCACCGGCUAACUACGUG